CACUGUUGCCGCCGCCGCGACCUGCGGUUCGUCUCCGCACAUUCCACACGCGGCCCAAACGGUCACUCUCUCUUCUCAGACACCUCUUUUCAGUCUUUAUUUAUCCUGAGCAGCUUAGAAAGAUUGGACAAGAAAGCUUACGUGGAAAGGAAAUCAACUUUCCUGGAGAUUUAGAGGACUAAAAGAAUAAAUAGGGCGUCCAUGCUGUGCCGAAAGUGCGACUAAGGUUAGGCAUCUGGAUUUCCGCCGUAGCCCUCUUCCACCCCCUCGGCCUUUCCGAAGCGGAUGAAAACAAACACUAACGAUGGCGGCGCCGGGAAGCUACCGGCUGCUGGGCUAAAGGCAGGAGUGACCGCUUAACCAGUGAGGGAAGCCCUGAAGGGCGCCAGUCGACGCGAGUGCGACAACUCGCGGAGUCCUAGGAGCAAAACGUCCGGGGCCUGCGAGUCAGGACCCUUCUGAAGCCUUCGGUGUCUAUCUGCGAUCUGUGCCGUCACUGCAGCUGCGGAGCGCGAAACCCUCAGCCAGGUGGCGCGGCUGGCCGGCCCCAGGCCCCGGCCUCCGUAAUGAGAUCCCGGAGCUACUCUCUGUGCCGCAGCUUCGCAGGUGAGGGUGACUGUUGACUAGUGAAAAAAGGGACCCAAGGUUCACGACUGUCUUCUUACUGGCAGUGGAACGACCAGUGGAAACCAGCGAUCCAUUCUCAUUAAAGAGGGCAUCUUGGACUCGAGUGAUUCUUCUGCCUCCACCUCCCGAGUAGCUGCAACUACAGGUAUGUGCCUUCAGGCCCCACUUCUUUUUAAGCCAUAUAAAAUUAUAGUAAAGGAAUAAAAUGGAUAUAAACAUGUAAGAACAGAAUGGGAAAAGUAGAAAAAGAGAGCGAGCUUGUCUACAUUUUUGGGAGAAGGAAAUGUAGAGGAAGAGUUUUAACUGGUUUAACAAUGCAGAAGAAGCAACAGCCUAGAAGUGAAAUGAAAUUGGAGCAGAAAGUGAACUGAUUCGAACCAAGAACCCAGUAAUGGUUCCAAACUGGAGGCUCUAGGUAGCUUAGGUUCAGGGAAGGCUCCAGAUUCAGAAA